AUUGCUUCCUGGCCUUUUGGCUAAGAUCAUGUGUAGUAUCUGUUGUUUUCAGUUUAGUAUCUGAUACGUCCUCUACCCAAGGACCACAUAUUAUAUGGAUUUUUGGAGCUCGGAGUCGGAAUAGGAGCUUGUUCAUCUACUUCACACAUCGACAUGGAAUUUUAGUACUUUCAGAAAAAAUUGUUUAUUGU